rnacentral:rRNA from 1 species
AAUAGCUCACUAGUCGAGUCGGCCUGCGCGGAAGAUGUAACGGGGCUCAAACCAUACACCGAAGCUACGGGUAUCACGCAAGUGAUGCGGUAGAGGAGCGUUCUGUAAGCCUGUGAAGGUGAGUUGAGAAGCUUGCUGGAGGUAUCAGAAGUGCGAAUGCUGACAUGAGUAACGACAAUGGGUGUGAAAAACACCCACGCCGAAAGACCAAGGUUUCCUGCGCAACGUUAAUCGACGCAGGGUUAGUCGGUCCCUAAGGCGAGGCUGAAAAGCGUAGUCGAUGGAAAACAGGUUAAUAUUCCUGUACUUCUGGUUAUUGCGAUGGAGGGACGGAGAAGGCUAGGCCAGCUUGGCGUUGGUUGUCCAAGUUUAAGGUGGUAGGCUGAAAUCUUAGGUAAAUCCGGGGUUUCAAGGCCGAGAGCUGAUGACGAGUUGCCUUUAGGCGACGAAGUGGUUGAUGCCAUGCUUCCAAGAAAAGCUUCUAAGCUUCAGAUAACCAGGAACCGUACCCCAAACCGACACAGGUGGUUGGGUAGAGAAUACCAA